rnacentral:rRNA from 1 species
ACUCCUGCGGGAGGCAGCAGUGGGGAAUUUUGGACAAUGGGCGAAAGCCUGAUCCAGCAAUGCCGCGUGCAGGAUGAAGGCCUUCGGGUUGUAAACUGCUUUUGUACGGAACGAAAAAGCUCCUUCUAAUACAGGGGGCCCAUGACGGUACCGUAAGAAUAAGCACCGGCUAACUACGUGCCAGCAGCCGCGGUAAUACGUAGGGUGCGAGCGUUAAUCGGAAUUACUGGGCGUAAAGCGUGCGCAGGCGGUUAUGUAAGACAGAUGUAAAAUCCCCGGGCUCAACCUGGGAACUGCAUUUGUGACUGCAUGGCUAGAGUACGGUAGAGGGGGAUGGAAUUCCGCGUGUAGCAGUGAAAUGCGUAGAUAUACGGAGGAACACCGAUGGCGAAGGCAAUCCCCUGGACCUGUACUGACGCUCAUGCACGAAAGCGUGGGGAGCAAACAGGAUUAGAAACCCUUGUAGUCCCAUGA